rnacentral:rRNA from 1 species
GUGCCAGCAGCCGCGGUAACACGGGGGGAGCAAGCGUUGUUCGGAAUUACUGGGCGUAAAGGGCGUGUAGGCGGAUAGGUAAGUGGAAUGUGAAAUCCCUCGGCUCACCCGAGGACCUGCAUCCCAAACUGCCUGUCUUGAGUAUGGGAGAGGAUGAGGGAAUUCCUGGUGUAGCGGUGAAAUGCGUAGAUAUCAGGAGGAACACCGGUGGCGAAAGCGCUCAUCUGGCCCAAUACUGACGCUGAUGCGCGAAAGCUAGGGGAGCAAACGGGAUUAGAUACCCCGGUAGUCCUAGCCGUAAACGGUGAUCACUAGGUGUUGGAGGCAUCGACCCCUCCAGUGCCGCAGCUAACGCAUUAAGUGAUCCGCCUGGGGAGUACGGCCGCAAGGUUGAA